AUUUCGAGCUUAUGAUUAUUUUUGGUGAUGGAUGGAAGUUGUAGUAGAACAGAAUUAUUAAAAUGACUUCCAACAAACAAGUGAUUGUCAGGAAGUGCUAUUAGACAAGAAGCAAUUGAAGACUCACCUAAUUUUUCCAAUUCCAUUGAAACAGUCUCAUCAGUGAACAAAGCUUUAAACUUGUACAACAUACCCGACUCAUCCGCUACAAUAUAAAUACUAGAAUCGAGGCCAGUCUCGGGAUCAUUAGAAAUGGAAGGAGAGAACGCAGUGAUCGGGUAUGUUAAAAGAAGUUUCGAAACCUGAAUAUCUUUACUUAUAUAGUAUACAUACAUCUCCCCGAACACAAAAACACCACCAUUCUCACUAGGUAUCAAUUUACCUUCCUCAAUGUCAUGACAAACAACAUCAUCCUCGUCGAUUUCUUGUUCACGAACGUUUAUUUUGUACGUAGAAAGAUGCACAAUCGACUUGCUAUCCUUGUAGAGAACUGCUAAAGAUGGACGGGAUGAGUUAUAAAGCAUGGCUAUGUCGACAACAUUUAACUCUUGAAUCCGCACACUAAAAUUAUCAUGCAAUGAAGGAUUGUUAUGAGAAGUCAUAAAUCGUUUUUUUGACUUAAAAAUUGGGAUAAUAGUCAGUAAACCCUGAUAUACAUGUAAACAAAUAACCCGUUGAAAUGGAUCCACUAACAGCAAAGGUCCAGAUUGACUUUCCCGAAGAGACCUUUCACUGCAAUCCUGUAUCUUUAUUCCAUUAGAAACAGUGUUAUCAUUGGCAUCCCAAAAAAGUGUAAAAUAACGAAAGGAAUCUGUUGCAACGAUUAUAUGAUCUGUCGGGGAUGAAACAGGCUUAAAAG